rnacentral:rRNA from 1 species
CAUGCAAGUCGAGCGCACUCUUCGGAGUGAGCGGCGGACGGGUUUGUAACGCGUGGUAACAUACCCUUCACUACGGAAUAGCCUCGGGAAACGGAGAGUAAUACCAUAUACUCUCUUCGGGGGAAAGAUUUAUCGGAGAGGGAUUGGCCCGCGUUAGAUUAGAUUGUUGGUGGGGUAAUGGCCUACCAAGUCUACGAUCUAUAGCUGGUUUGAGAGGAUGAUCAGCAACACUGGGACUGAGACACGGCCCACACUCCUGCG